GGUGUGGUUACGGUUCGUGGCGGCUCUUCUCCGUUGAGUCAUGGUCAUCUCCCAGCACCUGCUGUGUACCAGGUGCUGGUGGGAAGGCCGAGGAUGGGGGCCCAGCACUGUCCAGGCCCGCUGGGACCUGGCUGGGAGUCCUGUGGGCAGCGUGGAACAUGCAGCUGGGCUUCCUGUGACCAGGUGCCCUCUGGCACGGUUGCUUGCCCUGUGCCCUGGGCCUUUUCCUGCCCUCCUCCUUCCUCUGCUCCCUUGGGGCUACCCGUUGGACUCUCCUGGUCUGUGGAAACUUCCUCAGGGAGCUUCCCUGCCCUGUAGCACUCACUUAACUUCCUAGGGGGCUGCUGAGCCCAUCCAGAGGUUGUUGGAGCUCAGUGGGGCAGCUUGUCUCCCUUGGCAGCAGGGGCAUAAGGGCUGGGUUUGGCCAUACAAGGUUGGCUAUACCCUCAAUCCCUGACUGUCCCAGGCACUGAGCUCGGCACCCAAGGAAGGACAUGCUGUCCAGACUGUGUGAUGACUGCCAGCACAGGGCAUCUCGGGCUGGGCUGGGCUGUGAGGCCUUGCCUCUGUGGAAGAGAACUCUGGGUUCCUGUUUUCUCACUCACUCUUUGCGGCUUUGCUGUGGUUGGCAGCUGCCGUACUCCAGGCCUGUGGUGGCCACUCAGACGGGCUGUGGUGCGAGCCAGUGCAGGAGAGCUGGGUUUGGGAUUGUGCCCUCUUCUGUGUCUGUCCUCCAGACCUGCCCAGGUCUCCACCAUCAGGACCCCGUCUUUGGGUUUGGAAGACCAAGUAUGGGGAAGAGCAGGCACCAGCCUCUGCAGCAAUGGGUCCCUCUAGCCUGUGGACACCAGCUGGGUGUCCAAGGUCACCUUGGACCUUGGUCAAGGUGGAUCCAAGGUCAGGCCCUCUCUCCCCAGCUCCCCUCUGCUGUGGGUUCUGGGCUGUGAUGUCCCCACCACUUAAGGAUGUCUUCACACUGACUUCAGGACAGAUGCUGGGAAGCCUGGGCAUGGCCACGUGUUACGUGUACAGAAUUUUGUCUACAGCACAAAUUAAGUUAUGUAAACACAGUGACUGGUAUUUAAUGCUGAUCUACUAUAAGGUAUUCUAUAUUUAUACGACUUCAGAGACGCGUAUGUAAUAAAGGACGCCCUCCCUCCAGUGUCCACAUCCAGUUCACCCCAGAGGAUUGGGCAAGUUGACAUAUUUAUUUUUGUCUAUUCUGUAGGCUUCCAUGUCCAGAAUCCUGCUUAAGGUUUUGGGGUACCUUCAGUACUUUUUGCAAUAAAGUAUUUCCUAUCC
rnacentral:lncRNA from 1 species